rnacentral:lncRNA from 1 species
AUCGAAUGCUAUUAUUAUCUUCUGCGUGCUAGUGAAUGAAUUAACUCAGCAAGCUCUUCCUGACAGCUGUGAUAGCGUGCCAAGCACUGCAUUAGGGACUAGGGGUGGGGAUGAUGAAGGCAGGGGCUGCUCCUGUAGCUGAGAUCUGGGGUUGACCUUCGGAGUCAGUGUGAGGAGGUCAGAGAAUGACCGAUUUGGGUUUUAGCCUACUAACUGAUCACUGAGAGCAACCCCAUGAACAUGCUAAGCAGGAUUAAAUUUAUCAGUGUUGGGACAGCUCUGUGGAGUAGCUGGAGCCAUCCCUGCGUUUGCCGCCGGGGUUAGGUGCAGUGUGAGUGGAAGAAAGACCUUCAUUCUGGAGGAUGCUCUGCUUGGCCUGGAUGCUGCCCAUCAGAAGCCCCAGCAAGACUGUUUUCAGCAGGAAUUCCCCAGGUUUGAUGACAUCAUUCUGCUCGCUGUCCCAGUACUGAGUGUCCUCCAAGCCUCACUUUUCCCCCUGCGGUCCGGCAGAGAAUGGUGGCGUCACCCUAGAGCGAGGAUUUGCAGACCAACUGGAGUGUCUCCUUCCUGAGCAUUCAGCCUACAAUCCCAAGGGACUGAGUUGGCUCCAGUGCAGUAUACAUGGAAGUGGUACUUGCUCUUUGGGGCUUGGCCUCAGAACUAUCCUGGCUCAGGCAAUGUGGGCAGGAGAGAAAAGGCCAGAGGGAUGGUUCUCAGGAGAACACAGUAUGAAGUUGCUUACCUGCAGUCAACAAAAUGUCCUCAGACAUCCACUUCGGGGUGUAUUCCACUGCUACUGUGUAUGCAUUCAGCGAGGCAUCUUAUCUAUGUGACCAUUCAGAUACUAUACACAGGUUCAUACCAAGAAUAUGCUAAGGCAACUGACUAUAUAUACUGUGUCAACUACAUAGCUCUUGAAAGUGUAUGAUUUAGUAACUUCCUA